rnacentral:rRNA from 1 species
GAUGAACGCUGGCGGCGUGCCUAAUACAUGCAAGUCGAACGAAAAGAGGAGCUUGCUUCUCUUUUAGUGGCGAACGGGUGAGUAAUACAUAAGCAACCUACCUAUUCGACCGGGAUAACAGUUGGAAACGACUGCUAAUACCGGAUAGGUGCGCGGGGGACAUCCCCUGCACAUUAAAGCUGGGACACAGCACGAAUUGAGGGGCUUAUGGCGCAUUAGUUAGUUGGCGGGGUAACGGCCCACCAAGACGAUGAUGCGUAGCCGACCUGAGAGGGUGACCGGCCACACUGGGACUGAGACACGGCCCAGACUCCUACGGGAGGCAGCAGUAGGGAAUUUUCGGCAAUGGGCGCAAGCCUGACCGAGCAACGCCGCGUGAGUGAAGAAGGCCUUCGGGUUGUAAAGCUCUGUUGUAAGGGAAGAAUGGCCAAGAGAGGGAAUGCUCUUGGAGUGACGGUACCUUACCAGAAAGCCACGGCUAACUACGUGCCAGCCGCCGCAGUAAAAC